rnacentral:rRNA from 1 species
AUUGAACGCUGGCGGCAGGCCUAACACAUGCAAGUCGAGCGGAUGAAGGGAGCUUGCUCCUGGAUUCAGCGGCGGACGGGUGAGUAAUGCCUAGGAAUCUGCCUGGUAGUGGGGGAUAACGUCCGGAAACGGGCGCUAAUACCGCAUACGUCCUGAGGGAGAAAGUGGGGGAUCUUCGGACCUCACGCUAUCAGAUGAGCCUAGGUCGGAUUAGCUAGUUGGUGGGGUAAAGGCCUACCAAGGCGACGGUCCGUAACUGGUCUGAGAGGAUGAUCAGUCACACGGGAACUGAGACACGGUCAAGACUCCUACGGGAGGCAGCAGUGGGGAAUAUUGGACAAUGGGCGAAAGCCUGAUCCAGCAAUGCCGCGUGUGUGAAGAAGGUCUUCGGAUUGUAAAGCACUUUAAGUUGGGAGGAAGGGCAGUAAGUUAAUACCUUGCUGUUUUGACGUUACCAACAGAAUAAGCACCGGCUAACUUCGUG